rnacentral:lncRNA from 1 species
AAACAAAAUAGUUGAGCAUUUGUAACAAAUAAGAACAAAUUUCUUCACUUUGGCUCUUCUUCUUCUGACGAUGAUGAUCAAUAUAUGGUAUCAACUUCUGUCGCUAAGAUGUCCAUCAAAUUUCUAGGUCAUGUAACUUUUUUAACAAAAGAGAAAGUGAGAAUGUGGCUCUUCUUCUUCUGACGAUGAUGAUCAAUAUAUGGUAUCAACUUCUGUCGCUAAGAUGUCCAUCAAAUUUCUAGGUCAUGUGACUUUUUUAACAAAAGAGAAAGAGAGAAUAUCUCAUGAUUCUUGUGAAGACAUUGAUGUAAAGAAAGAGAUUAUGUAACAAAAAAUUCUUUUCAAAAUAAAAGACUUUUUGAAAAAAUGUUUAU